AGAGUUUGAUCAUGGCUCAGAUUGAACGCUGGCGGCAUGCCUUUACACAUGCAAGUCGAACGGCAGCAUGAUCUAGCUUGCUAGAUUGAUGGCGAGUGGCGAACGGGUGAGUAAUACAUCGGAACGUGCCCUGUAGUGGGGGAUAACUAGUCGAAAGAUUAGCUAAUACCGCAUACGACCUGAGGGUGAAAGUGGGGGACCGCAAGGCCUCAUGCUAUAGGAGCGGCCGAUGUCUGAUUAGCUAGUUGGUGAGGUAAAGGCUCACCAAGGCGACGAUCAGUAGCUGGUCUGAGAGGACGAUCAGCCACACUGGGACUGAGACACGGCCCAGACUCCUACGGGAGGCAGCAGUGGGGAAUUUUGGACAAUGGGCGAAAGCCUGAUCCAGCAAUGCCGCGUGUGUGAAGAAGGCCUUCGGGUUGUAAAGCACUUUUGUCCGGAAAGAAAUGGCUCUGGUUAAUACCUGGGGUCGAUGACGGUACCGGAAGAAUAAGGACCGGCUAACUACGUGCCAGCAGCCGCGGUAAUACGUAGGGUCCAAGCGUUAAUCGGAAUUACUGGGCGUAAAGCGUGCGCAGGCGGUUGUGCAAGACCGAUGUGAAAUCCCCGAGCUUAACUUGGGAAUUGCAUUGGUGACUGCACGGCUAGAGUGUGUCAGAGGGGGGUAGAAUUCCACGUGUAGCAGUGAAAUGCGUAGAGAUGUGGAGGAAUACCGAUGGCGAAGGCAGCCCCCUGGGAUAACACUGACGCUCAUGCACGAAAGCGUGGGGAGCAAACAGGAUUAGAUACCCUGGUAGUCCACGCCCUAAACGAUGUCAACUAGUUGUUGGGGAUUCAUUUCCUUAGUAACGUAGCUAACGCGUGAAGUUGACCGCCUGGGGAGUACGGUCGCAAGAUUAAAACUCAAAUGAAUUGACGG
rnacentral:rRNA from 1 species